GCUCUAGUAGCUUAACUAAAAGCACCGGUCUUGUAAUCCGGAGACUGAAGGUUAGAUCCCUUCCUAGCGCC
rnacentral:tRNA from 1 species